GACGAACGCUGGCGGCGUGCUUAACACAUGCAAGUCGUACGGUAAGGCCCUUUCGGGGGUACACGAGUGGCGAACGGGUGAGUAACACGUGAGUAACCUGCCCACAACUUUGGGAUAACGCUAGGAAACUGGUGCUAAUACUGGAUAUGUUCUCCUGCUGCAUGGUGGGGGUAGGAAAGCUCCGGCGGUUGUGGAUGGACUCGCGGCCUAUCAGCUUGUUGGUGGGGUAGUGGCCUACCAAGGCGGCGACGGGUAGCCGGCCUGAGAGGGUGACCGGCCACAUUGGGACUGAGAUACGGCCCAGACUCCUACGGGAGGCAGCAGUGGGGAAUAUUGCACAAUGGGCGCAAGCCUGAUGCAGCAACGCCGCGUGCGGGAUGACGGCCUUCGGGUUGUAAACCGCUUUCAGCAGGGACGAAGCUUUUUGUGACGGUACCUGCAGAAGAAGCACCGGCUAACUACGUG
rnacentral:rRNA from 1 species